GUCGGAAGGCUUGGGCGGGGCCCGCGGGGCGAAGCCGCUUCCUUUAUCUUUCUCAAUCUGCGCCUAAAUUCCGUCUGCCUCAGCUGUGCCCUUUUCCGUGACUUCCUCUGCUGCAGUGCCUGUGUUGCUCAGACAAGCCCUCAGGAAGGUGGGGAUGCAGUGACUAGCAACGCCUGGGUCCUAUCAGAACAGUCACCGUAACAGUCAAUGACCUUAAGGGUCACCAGGGUAACUGCCGCCUUUUAUAGACGAGUCUGGAGAGUCUGGUGGUUUGCCCGCCACGCUGCAAAUGGGAGCCAGCAACAGGAGGACACUAUUUUGCCACUAAGCCAAGCUGCUAGCAAGAAAGAGCCUUGCAGCACAGGGGUUCCUGGGUGGCUCUGUCAGUAAAGCGCCCAGCUUAGGCUCAGGUCAUGAUCUCACAGCUAGUGGGUGGCUCGUGGGUUACAGCUCCGGAUCUGGCUGUGUGCUGCCAGCGUAGAACCUCUUUGGAUCCUCUCUGUCCCUCCGAGCUCAUGCCCUCUCUCAAAAAUUAAAAAAAAAAGUUUAAAAAAUGUUUUCAGAACCUUGCAGCACAGCUAGAAUGUAAACUGAUACCAAACAAACCAUUACUUGUCUCCACUGAUGUUUUACAAUGUUGCUUGCUGCGCCGGUUGUCAGUGUGUUAUCUCUAGCUCCGCGUUCACUCUCAUUCCAUGCACUGCAGGAUGGAGCUGGGCCCUCUGAGCGCUCUUCCCCUGCCAGGUGGACCAUUGCAGAGGUGUGCCGGGGAAGAAACCCCCUGGGAGGCAGUGCGGGAGGAAGGGGCUUUGCUGCCCGGCUCCAGUGAGUUCCCUUGACAGCUGCAGAACGAGAGGCCUCCCCGGAGCCCACCUCCCCGCACCGAGGACGGCUUCUUCUAGCUCCAGGUUCCGCGAGCACCCGACUCCGCAGUGCAGGCUGCCAGCACGCUGCUCCAGUUCCUGCCCUAUAGCCGCAAAGGCGCGCCCCUGAACAGCUUUCUGGCACUCCGGAGGGACUGCCAGACGUCCUGCCAGCGCUUCUCCGCCAUUUGGUGAGCUGUAGCUAGGCUAUCUCCAAGCAAGUUGGACCUCAGCCCUGGGGCUACUGCUCCUGCAGCGAUUCUGACACCAGCUGUGUAACACCAGAUCCUGACACCCAGCAAUUCUGUGACAUCGGCUGGGUAUCCCACUGUAACUCACUCUGGCACCAUCCACCUGGAGACGGCAUCAGAUCCACAGGUGGAGGGCUUCAUCCUGCAAGACCCCCUACACUUCAGAUGCCAACCGUCACAACUCAGCUGUGAAGUGUCCUGACAGCCUCUUCCUUCUUACCGGUAACCUCCAUAGCCUGCUCUGUGGCCCCACCUCAUGAACAAAAAUACCUAAGACCCAGUUACUAAGUGGUCCACACAUCUGAAGAUGGCCCUCACUUCCCCUCUCCCCUCCUCAGAAUUAUUCAGUGCAACCCCAAACCUUACAAAAUUCCCUCUCCAGUCUCCUCAUGAGACACAAUGGAGAAAUCUCUAGGGUUCUCUCUUUGCAACAGGUUAAUAAACCAGACCUGGUCUAUUAGGUUUAUCCCUAGUGGGCUUGACUGUUGGGCAUUUUCACCCAUCUCAAGUAUCUUCUCCUCCACUUAAUCUUUGGAUGCAGUUUUUCCCUCCUCCAGCCCCAGAAUACUUUGUGUGUCCUGGUGCUAGAGUUAAUUAGCUAGAGUUAAUGUUAGGACAUUUCCUCUACUAGACUGUAAGGCCCUUUAGAGACUGUGUGGGAUUCCUCUUUGUGUCCGAGUUCUAAUGAGACAAAUGAUGUGCACCUGGCCAGACAAAGAUGGACACAGUCUCCCCUGGCUAAGCUCUCGAGUGUUCAAGAAAGCCCUGAACAAGUGAAGAUUUAUCUUCAACUGACCCUCUCAAAGACAGUUUUCUAUGGACUCAUGUCUUGGCUAGAUUCCAGCUAAUUGGUGUGGGUUUUGUUUGUUUGAAGUUUAUUUGUUUUGACAAAGAGAAAGAGCGUGUGCACACACACACACGCACACAUAUGCACACACGGCACUUGAGCA